AAGGCAGCUACCUGGUGACAGGAUGCUAAUCCCAAAAGCCUCUCUCAGUUCGGAUCGAAGUCUGCAACCCGACUUCGUGAAGCUGGAUUCGCUAGUAAUCGCGCAUCAGCCAUGGCGCGGUGAAUACGUUCCCGGGCCUUGUACACACCGCCCGUCAAGCCAUGAAAGCCGGGGGUACCUGAAGUACGUAACCGCAAGGAGCGUCCUAGGGUAAAACUGGUAAUUGGGGCUAAGUCGUAACAAGGUAUC
rnacentral:rRNA from 1 species